UUAAGCGACUAAGCGUACACGGUGGAUGCCCUGGCAGUCAGAGGCGAUGAAGGACGUGCUAAUCUGCGAAAAGCGUCGGUAAGGUGAUAUGAACCGUUAUAGCCGGCGAUGUCCGAAUGGGGAAACCCAGUGCAAUUCGUUGCACUAUCGUUAACUGAAUACAUAGGUUAACGAGGCGAACCGGGGGAACUGAAACAUCUAAGUACCCCGAGGAAAAGAAAUCAACCGAGAUUCCCCCAGUAGCGGCGAGCGAACGGGGAGCAGCCCAGAGUCUGAAUCAGCUUGUGUGUUAGUGGAACGGUCUGGAAAGUCCGACGGUACAGGGUGAUAGUCCCGUACACCAAAAUGCACAGGUUGUGAACUCGAAGAGUAGGGCGGGACACGUGGUAUCCUGUCUGAAUAUGGGGGGACCAUCCUCCAAGGCUAAAUACUCCUGACUGACCGAUAGUGAACCAGUACCGUGAGGGAAAGGCGAAAAGAACCCCGGCGAGGGGAGUGAAAAAGAACCUGAAACCGUGUACGUACAAGCAGUGGGAGCACCUUCGGGUGUGACUGCGUACCUUUUGUAUAAUGGGUCAGCGACUUAUAUUCUGUAGCAAGGUUAACCGUAUAGGGGAGCCGCAGGGAAACCGAGUCUUAACUGGGCGUUAAGUUGCAGGGUAUAGACCCGAAACCCGGUGAUCUAGCCAUGGGCAGGUUGAAGGUUGGGUAACACUAACUGGAGGACCGAACCGACUAAUGUUGAAAAAUUAGCGGAUGACUUGUGGCUGGGGGUGAAAGGCCAAUCAAACCGGGAGAUAGCUGGUUCUCCCCGAAAGCUAUUUAGGUAGCGCCUCGUGAAUUCAUCUUCGGGGGUAGAGCACUGUUUCGGCUAGGGGGUCAUCCCGACUUACCAACCCGAUGCAAACUACGAAUACCGAAGAAUGUUAUCACGGGAGACACACGGCGGGUGCUAACGUCCGUCGUGAAGAGGGAAACAACCCAGACCGCCAGCUAAGGUCCCAAAGUCAUGGUUAAGUGGGAAACGAUGUGGGAAGGCACAGACAGCCAGGAUGUUGGCUUAGAAGCAGCCAUCAUUUAAAGAAAGCGUAAUAGCUCACUGGUCGAGUCGGCCUGCGCGGAAGAUGUAACGGGGCUAAACCAUGCACCGAAGCUGCGGCAGCGACACUAUGUGUUGUUGGGUAGGGGAGCGUUCUGUAAGCCUGCGAAGGUGUGCUGUGAGGCAUGCUGGAGGUAUCAGAAGUGCGAAUGCUGACAUAAGUAACGAUAAAGCGGGUGAAAAGCCCGCUCGCCGGAAGACCAAGGGUUCCUGUCCAACGUUAAUCGGGGCAGGGUGAGUCGACCCCUAAGGCGAGGCCGAAAGGCGUAGUCGAUGGGAAACAGGUUAAUAUUCCUGUACUUGGUGUUACUGCGAAGGGGGGACGGAGAAGGCUAUGUUAGCCGGGCGACGGUUGUCCCGGUUUAAGCAUGUAGGCUGGUUAUCCAGGCAAAUCCGGAUAAUCAAGGCUGAGGUGUGAUGACGAGGCACUACGGUGCUGAAGUAACAAAUGCCCUGCUUCCAGGAAAAGCCUCUAAGCAUCAGGUAACAUUAAAUCGUACCCCAAACCGACACAGGUGGUCAGGUAGAGAAUACCAAGGCGCUUGAGAGAACUCGGGUGAAGGAACUAGGCAAAAUGGUGCCGUAACUUCGGGAGAAGGCACGCUGGUGUGUAGGUGAAGUCCCUGCGGAUGGAGCUGAGACCAGUCGAAGAUACCAGCUGGCUGCAACUGUUUAUUAAAAACACAGCACUGUGCAAACACGAAAGUGGACGUAUACGGUGUGACGCCUGCCCGGUGCCGGAAGGUUAAUUGAUGGGGUUAUCCGUAAGGAGAAGCUCUUGAUCGAAGCCCCGGUAAACGGCGGCCGUAACUAUAACGGUCCUAAGGUAGCGAAAUUCCUUGUCGGGUAAGUUCCGACCUGCACGAAUGGCGUAAUGAUGGCCAGGCUGUCUCCACCCGAGACUCAGUGAAAUUGAACUCGCUGUGAAGAUGCAGUGUACCCGCGGCAAGACGGAAAGACCCCGUGAACCUUUACUAUAGCUUGACACUGAACAUUGAGCCUUGAUGUGUAGGAUAGGUGGGAGGCUUUGAAGCGUGGACGCCAGUCUGCGUGGAGCCAACCUUGAAAUACCACCCUUUAAUGUUUGAUGUUCUAACGUUGGCCCCUGACCGGGGUUGCGGACAGUGUCUGGUGGGUAGUUUGACUGGGGCGGUCUCCUCCCAAAGCGUAACGGAGGAGCACGAAGGUUAGCUAAUCCUGGUCGGACAUCAGGAGGUUAGUGCAAUGGCAUAAGCUAGCUUGACUGCGAGCGUGACGGCGCGAGCAGGUGCGAAAGCAGGUCAUAGUGAUCCGGUGGUUCUGAAUGGAAGGGCCAUCGCUCAACGGAUAAAAGGUACUCCGGGGAUAACAGGCUGAUACCGCCCAAGAGUUCAUAUCGACGGCGGUGUUUGGCACCUCGAUGUCGGCUCAUCACAUCCUGGGGCUGAAGUAGGUCCCAAGGGUAUGGCUGUUCGCCAUUUAAAGUGGUACGCGAGCUGGGUUUAGAACGUCGUGAGACAGUUCGGUCCCUAUCUGCCGUGGGCGCUGGAGAAUUGAGGGGGGCUGCUCCUAGUACGAGAGGACCGGAGUGGACGCAUCACUGGUGUUCGGGUUGUCAUGCCAAUGGCACUGCCCGGUAGCUAAAUGCGGAAGAGAUAAGUGCUGAAAGCAUCUAAGCACGAAACUUGCCCCGAGAUGAGUUCUCCCUGAGACUUUAAGUCUCCUGAAGGAACGUUGAAGACGACGACGUUGAUAGGCCGGGUGUGUAAGCGCAGCGAUGCGUUGAGCUAACCGGUACUAAUGAACCGUGAGGCUUAACCUU
rnacentral:rRNA from 2 species